rnacentral:rRNA from 1 species
AGGACGAACGCUGGCGGCGUGCCUAACACAUGCAAGUCGAACGGGGAUUUGUUUCGGCAGAAUCCUAGUGGCGAACGGGUGAGUAACGCGUAGGCAACCUGCCCUCCGGCCGGGGACAACACUCCGAAAGGGGUGCUAAUACCGGAUACGAAGUCUGUGCCGCAUGGUACGGAUUUGAAAGAUGGCCUCUAUUUAUAAGCUAUCGCCGGGGGAUGGGCCUGCGUCCGAUUAGCUGGUUGGUGGGGUAACGGCCUACCAAGGCGACGAUCGGUAGCCGGUCUGAGAGGAUGAACGGCCACAUUGGGACUGAGACACGGCCCAGACUCCUACGGGAGGCAGCAGUGGGGAAUCUUCCGCAAUGGGCGCAAGCCUGACGGAGCAACGCCGCGUGAGUGAGGAAGUUCUUCGGAACGUAAAGCUCUGUUGUUCCUGACGAACCUCCCCUUUAUCAACAACGGAGGGGACUGACGGUAGGGAACGAGGAAGCCACGGCUAACUACGUGCCAGCCGCUGC